rnacentral:rRNA from 1 species
UACGGAGGGGGCUAGCGUUGUUCGGAAUUACUGGGCGUAAAGCGCACGUAGGCGGACCAGCAAGUUGGGGGUGAAAUCCCGGGGCUCAACCCCGGAACUGCCUUCAAAACUGCGGGUCUGGAGGUCGAGAGAGGUGAGUGGAAUUCCGAGUGUAGAGGUGAAAUUCGUAGAUAUUCGGAGGAACACCAGUGGCGAAGGCGGCUCACUGGCUCGAUGCUGACGCUGAGGUGCGAAAGCCAGGGGAGCAAACGGG